UACGCAGGUGACAAGCGUUAUCCGGAAUUACUGGGUGUAAAGCGCACGCAGGUGGCUACUUAAGUCUGACGUGAACGCUCCUGGCUUAACUGGGAGAGGUCGUUGGAAACUGAGUGGCUUGAGGCGAUGAGAGGGGUAUGGAAUUCCCGGUGUAGUGGUGGAAUGCGUAGAGAUCGGGAGGAACACCAGUGGCGAAAGCGAUACCCUAGCGGUAGCCUGACGCUCAUGUGCGAAAGCGUGGGGAGCGAACGGG
rnacentral:rRNA from 1 species